AUGAGCGGGUUCGGGGAGAUCAUCGCGAGCGCCGUGGGGAAGCAAAUCGCGAGCAAGCUCGGUGAACUCGCCACGGAGGAGGCCACCCUGCAGUGGAGGUUCAAAGACGAUGUUGAGGUCAUGGCGGACAAGAUGCAAGAUCUGGAGGCCGUGUUGCACGAUGCGGAUGAUAGGCUGCGCCGAGGAGGAAGAGAUGGGGAAGUUGUUGGGCGGUGGCUCACCAAAUUCAAGUCCGUCGCCUACGACGCCGAGGACGUGCUGGACGAUCUGGACGCCACCGAGCUCUUAAAGAAGAGCCAACCAAAGUUGAAACUGUUCUUUUCCAGGAACAAUCAAAUUUUCCAGCGGAUCACCAUGCCUCACAAGCUGAAGAAAUUGAGAGGGGAAAUAGAAAAGAUAGGAAAGGAGGGACAGGCUCUCAAUCUUGUGAGACAUCAAGAACAAGCACAAGGGAGCAUAAUAAACAAUGAAAGUUUUGUAGGCAUCUGUGAUGAAGGCUUGAGAUCUGGAGUGGUGGGGAGGGAUAUGGAAAAGGACAAAAUAAUCAGGCUGCUACUAAACAAGGGCGCUAUCGCUAGAGAGGGUAUAUCUAUUAUCCCGAUUGUCGGGCUUGGUGGUCUAGGAAAGUCAACAUUGGCUGAAUCAGUCUUUGUGGACAAGAGGGUCAAUGACUUCGAGGUCCGAGCCUGGGUUCAUGUGUCUAAGGAGUUUGAUCUACGCAAAAUUGGGAGUGCCAUCCUCAAAAGCAUAAAUAGCAGCAUCAACCUUGACAAUUGUAGUUUGCAGUUUUUGCAGGAAAAUCUCAAAAAGGAACUUGCUGGUAGAAGGUACUUGAUUGUUUUGGAUGAUCUUUGGGAAGAGGAUGGGGAUAAGCUGGAAAGGCUGAAGCAGAUGUUACAACAUGGCCGCAAGGGUAGCAGGGUUAUUGUAACUACGCGCAACCAAAGUGUAGUGAAUAAAUUGAGCACUGGUGUUCUUGCACACCAAAGAAAAUUUUGUCCCGUGCCCAACUCUGAUCAAAUCAACUUGUUUGUUUUGUCAACUGAUGAAUGCUGGGAAGUAAUGAAGCAAACAGCAUUUGGGCCUGAUGAUGAUAAAAGUGACUUGGAAGAAAUUGGAAGGGAAAUUGCAGAGAAGUGCUGGGGUGUACCACUCGUGGCAAUUGCCCUUGGGCAAGUAAUGUCCGAGUUAAGAACUGUGGAGGCAUGGCAAAAAAUAAGAGAUACAAACAUUGAUUUGGGUCAUAGAGACCACAAGAAGACAUUGGAGCGCCUCAUGCUGAGCUAUUACUACAUGAAGCUGGACUUCAAAAUGUGCUUCACAUACUUGGCGGCCUUUCCCAAGGGCUUCAUUAUAGAAAGUGAUCGUCUAAUUCAGCAAUGGAAGGCUCUUGGAUACAUUCAUGGAUGGGAUGAUGGUAAAAGGUGCAUUAACUACCUUAUGGGGAUGUCCUUUCUUCAAAUCUCAAGGUCCUCCGUGAUUAGGUCAAGUCCAGUGCAUGCCAAUGCUCCUCGAGAGCUCACCAUGCAUGAUUUGGUGCAUGAUCUUGCAACAAUAAUUUUGGGACAUGAAUCCCUUGUUCUAAAUGCUACUGAGCCGAGGAGUAGGAAGAAAGCAAACCGUCGUUAUUGCCGACAUGCACAGUUGAUCAACUACCAGAAUCAGUAUAAGGUUUUCAAUGAUCUGCCAGGCAGCAUCAGAUCCUUCCAUGUAAGACAUUCAGAGAAACAACAGCUCUCCCAAAAGGCAUUUUCCAGAACGAAGUAUAUACGGGUCUUGGACCUAAGUGGAUGUUUAGUUGUGGGGCAAUCUACUCCAAGCAGCAUACUUUUGCCAUCUUCCGUGCUUCAGUUGAAGCUACUUAGGUACCUCGAUGCCUCUAGCUUGCCAAUUACAUCACUUCCUGAGUCUUUCCAUACACUUCAAAAUAUGGAAACUCUAAUUCUGUCCAAUUGCUCACUUGAAACCUUGCCUGACAGUAUCUGUAGCCUCCACAAACUCAGCUAUUUGGACCUAGCUGGCAAUGCUAGAUUCAGUAAGCUCCCUGACAACUUUCAUCUUCUUAGUAAACUCAUAUUCCUGAACAUGUCAAGUUGUUCCAAGCUAACCAAACUUCCUGACAAUUUUAGCCUGGAGUGUUUAGAACAUUUAAACCUAUCAGGUUGUCAUGAGUUAAAAAACCUUCCACAAGAUUUCGGGAAUCUCCAAAAUCUUAGGUUCUUGAACCUUUCUGAUUGCUACAAGAUAUCAGUUCUACCAGAAUCAUUUUGCCAACUGAAGCAUUUGAAAGACCUAAACCUUUCCGAUUGUCGUGCCCUUGUAGUACUCCCUGAAUGCUUUGGUGACCUUUCAGAUCUUGAAUCCUUGAACCUAACAAGUUGUCCCAGGCUAGCACAGUUGCCCGAGUCAAUCUGCAAGAUGACUAAUCUGAAGUGUCUCAAUUUGUCAUAUUGUUUAGGGAUGCUAGAGCUCCCCUCCUCACUAGGUGAUCUUAAUCUCCAAAUAUUGGACAUUUCUGCUGGUGCUCUCCGUCAUUUGCCAGGUAGCAUCAGUAAAAUGACUAGUCUCACCGAAUUUGUGGUCACGUCAGGACAUCCUAGGGUGUAUGAAAAGGCCCAGGAAAUUAAGAAGCAUCUAAAUUUGCCAGGCCGCAAAGUACAUAGAGUACGCAACACAGGAAGAGGACACGACAGUAUAGUUGAGCUUGGAGAUGUGAAUUGCCCUGAGCUGUUAAUUGGAUCUCUUCAACGUGUCAAGAGACCGGAAGAUGCAGAGAGAAUCAAGCUGCGUGAUAAAUCAUGUCUUAGACAGCUAGCUCUCCACUGGAAUCAGAAGAAUAUGAAUGCUCAUGCAUCCUCGGCUGAAUAUGUUCUGAAGAGGCUCAUACCAGCUCGAAAUCUUGAACAGCUUAUGAUACAAGGAUAUUCGAGCAAGGGUUUUCCUAACUGGAUGUGGCACAUAUCCUCCCACCUCCCUUGUAUUACAUAUCUGAGUCUUUCUGAUUUAGGUGCAUGUGAUAAUCUUCCUCCGUUUGGGCAGCUACCAAAUUUAAGAAGUCUAUAUCUGCAGAAAAUUCCGAACAUCACGAAAGUCGGCAGGAAAUUCUAUGGGAAGGGUGGAACUUGUAAGAAACUAAGAUUGUUACAAUUGCAGUCGAUGGACAAUUUGGUGGAAUGGCGGACAACACUGUCAGGCAAAGAAGAUGGUGAAUUUUUAAUCUCUAAUUUGCACAAUUUAGAGUUAAAGGACUGCCCAAAGCUGAAGUUCCGACCAUACCCCCCCAGAAGUAUGUUUUGGUGCUUGGACAAUAGCGAUAAGGUUUUGGCAGGAAGUACAUUUUGGAAACUCUCGUCUUCCAUUCUUCCUUGUCGUAUGGGUAUAAAAAAUUGCAGCUUUUAUCCGGGCAAGUGGCAUAGACUAAAGCAAUUCCUCACUCUCGAAGAAUUCUCAUUGACCUCCUGUCACGGCUUGAUGGCCUUGCCAGAGGCCAUUCGCUGCUUCACCUCUCUCAAAAAGCUAAGUUUGACGUCGUUGCAUUGGCUGGAGAAGAUGCCAGAAUGGCUGGGACAUCUCACUUCUCUACAGGUCUUGGGCAUAAAAGAUUGUUGCAAUUUAACUUUUUUGCCUGAAAGUAUGAAAAACCUCACUGCUCUGAGAGUGCUAAUGCUUCUCGAGUGCGAAGGACUAGAUAUAUUGCCGCAAUGGCUAGGACAGCUCAGUUCCCUACGAGAACUUCGCAUCAGAGACUGUCCCAACAUCACAUCUUUGCCUGAAAGCAUAAGAAACCUUACUGCCUUGGAGGAACUGUACAUUUCUGGAUCUUCAGGUCUGGUCCGUAGGUCCCGCAGGGAGGAUGCAUAUAAGGUUUCUCACAUCCGUAAAGUAGUAUUUGAGCUAGAAGAACCAAAUGAGGAACAAGGACAAGAAGAAUCACAGGAAGCAUGGAUGAAUAGGCUAUCGAAAAAAUACGGAGAAAACCCGUCGAGACAUAGAGAGGAACGAGAAGAACUAGAGUCACAGAUGUCGGACUCAGACUCUGAACAUCUCUCUCGUUAUGGGCAAGAAGAUUCAGAAAAUGAGGAUGACGAGCAAGAUGAUUGGUACCUAUAA
rnacentral:rRNA from 1 species